ensembl:lncRNA
GGGUUACCGUGACCAACAAGACGAGAGAAACGCCAGUUUUCGAUAGCAGCUAAUCGAGCUAACAUCAACACAACGGACGCUACUAGGCAAAAAGGCGAGCCGCGCGAACAUGUUUGGAUCCGCCGUGUUUGGAUGUCGAUGUAGGUCCGCAAAGCCAUGAACAUCAAUAGCAAAGCAACGUCCGCCAUUGUUGAUGAUGUGUUUGUGUUUGGCGCCGCCGCGCUAACGUUAGCUGGGAAAGAUGAGACGCAGGACUUGGCUCUGCGCUGGCUCUUUAGCCUGUGGAAAAGCAAACCGGUUCUUUGGAGGCUCGUCAGUGGAACCAACUCCAAACCGGCUCUGGCUCCGAACCAGCACCUGGUUCUUGUUGGUGGAAAAGGAGUCGGAGGAAAUCGGAGGACGACACCGGGAGCAGAAAUAGAGGAAAUUGUGUAAAAGUGAACUAAUGAAACAUGGAGAGUUUUCUGACUUAUGUGAAGAAAAUCUCUUUUCUUCGAACUUCCGUAACAAGUGCUCGUUCACCUCGGCCUCCCACGGGGACCCUGUGAAGAUCCAGCUGCUCUUCAUCUACCGUUAACCACUUAAGUGUCACGAGUGACAAAUGACCCCCUCAAAAACAAAAUCCCUCCUCCUGCUGACAAAGCAGAACCUGCUCCUCAGACCUCCGAGGAGAAGCUGACAACCUGCCCCCCUCCCUCGCUGCUUCUCUCUCUUCCCAUUGGCUGGGACGGGCCUUCUGGGUGGAGGGAAACGCGCUGAGUAAUGAGGGACCAAUUUGAAUAAAACGGGGAACCGCGGGGAUCCGGCUCUCGCAGGCGACCCGAGGGUACUCGAAUCAAACAGUCAAGUGGGCCGCUGCCUCUCUGCCGGGGUGGAAAGAGUUUGAAUGUCACAGGAGCGGAGAUGAUUGAGGCGGGGAACUCCUGCUGAUCGCGCUGAUGGCUUCAGAUGAAACGGCGGCCUCUCGACGGGAAUAACCCAAAGUAGAAGUGGAGAGGACGUGUUUGCUGAGCGCCCGCCGGGUUGCUCGGGGUCGCCCCCGUCGGUGCCUCGUCAUGGCGUCAGCGGGCUCCUUCCUGCCGUGACAUCGCCGGGGGGGCGUGUCUUCUGAUGAAAAGAGCUUCGACCGAGUGCAAAGACACAUCGAGGCGAAAUGGAAGAUGAAUGAGGGCGUUCAUUCAAACCGGAUGCUUCACAAACUGCAGUGACACCGAGCUCCACAGCGACUCCUCUGCUUGGACCAGGAGCAGAAGAAGGAGGACGGACGGCAGCGUCCCCCAGUUCCAACCGGGGGGAGGAA